rnacentral:rRNA from 1 species
GACGAACCGUGCGAACGUUAUUCGGAAUCACUGGGCUUAAAGGGCGCGUAGGCGGGUUGCCAAGUCUGUGGUGAAAUCCUCCAGCUUAACUGGAGAACGGCCGUGGAUACUGGCGACCUCGAGGGGGGUAGGGGCUUGCGGAACUGUGCGUGGAGCGGUGAAAUGCGUUGAUAUGCACAGGAACUCCGGUGGCGAAGGCGGCGAGCUGGACCCUUUCUGACGCUGAGGCGCGAAAGCCAGGGAGCGAAACGGG